CGCUAACCAGCUGUGCAUGCACACACACAAACGCAAACACAAUAGGAGUUUUGCAAAUAGUACAGCUGGAUACUGUCAAGGGAAUAUGAAAGCAAUCUCUAGCUGCCUUGCACGUUAUCAGCCUCCUAGACAAUUACAUCAUUUCUGCAACUGCCCACACACUCACACUGUUACCUGCUUCUAGAUAAUUAAAUAAUAUUUGAUACUGAUUAAAGGCUUCUCUGUUUUUAUUCUUCCAAAACAUGCACAGGCAGACGCAGGGAGAGAUGUGCAGGAGUGUAAGAUGUGUGUACAUAAAUGAAAAGCAGAGGAUGGCAGCAGUGUUAUUAGUUUCUGGAUAUGAGGAAAUGGCUGUUCUCUGUAUAUUUAUUUAAAACUGUAUCUAGAAUACUGCAUAGGAAUUAUUUUAAAGGUCAUUGUGUUGUUUUUAGACACAUCAAGGACAGCUAAAAUGAUCAUCAUUUGUUCAAAUAAUAUUUAGAUGAGGAACUGUUAACAAUGUAUACUGUUAUUAACAUACAUUAUUUCAGCACAUGUAAAGCAAUGAGACGUGUUGCAAAGAAAACUUUAAAAAAUAUAUUUGACACAUUAGACCGAGCCUGUAACUACCGGGAUAUAGUUUACCAUUGCCCUUUUGCCACUUACAAGUGAGUGGGAGAAGGAACCCUGCCUUUCCUUAGGAAGCCAUGUAAAAUCCAUUGUGCAUCAUCAGAAAUCAGACUAACAGCUCAGUUUGCAUCUCUAAAAGCAGUGAUAACUUAUUUCUAAUAACAAAAUAUGCAGUGCUUCUAAGAGGAUGUACAGUGAAUGCCUUCCACAAAGGUACCUUCAUGACAUCAGGACAGAUAGUGAAUAAUCAUCUCCCUCAGUCCCCAAGAAAAGAAAAAAUAAAAAAGAAAAUAGAAGGGAAAAAUGAAACAAGCUAGCCCAUAACCCAACACACUCCUACCUUUCACACAUUUUGAGUAAUCUUUGCUGGAUUUUCACCUAUUCCGCAGUGUCCUACUACACUGGGAGAACACAACAUUUCAUGGUGAUUAACAUACUUUACUGCUUCUUAGCCUUCAGCUUUUCCCCUUGUGUAUUCAUGUUUCUGUUCAGACUACAUCAGUGCAAGUUCCUUCUGUCCCUAACCGAAGAUUUAAGAACCUUCCCUGAUGCUAAAGAAAAUGUAUGAGUGGAUCUAAGAGUGAAGAGUGCCACCAUCAGGCCGACUGGCUAAAUGGAAGCAAUUUUUGUGAAGUCUUUGAACAACAGGUUCUUUGGUUUCAUUUAUCGAUAAUCAAGAGAAUAGUGAUUGUACCUUCAUUUAGUCUUGAUGGAGAGCAGAGACGAGCAUGUUGAGAGCCACCUUAACCUCUGAAUUAACAAUAUAUUGCAAGAUCUCAACAAACAUGGCAGCCUCAUUCAUCACAUUUCAUUCACACUGGGACUUCUUGAACUCAGAGGCAUAGAAACAUGUAUUUGUUCUUUCACAGAAUAAAAUAAAUAAUCCAGUAAGUGGAUUUCAUUAAAAAGUUCAUUAAAAGUGAAGCUCACUGCAACAAGCUGAGUAACAGACUAAAUCUUGCCUUGGGCAACAAGCAGAAUUUAUUUACUUUUUGUCCCUUUAUCUUCCAACCCUCUCAUGUCAGACUGUGAUGGAUGAAGUGAAAAGAGUUUCCACACCAAAAUCUGAAUUCUCAGCAAAUUGUUGACAGCUGGUGUCAUUCCAAAUUAGAGAUAGGCUAUUACUAGUGAUCAGCUUAUUCCAUGAAUUUAGCCUUUUUGACUGCUUGCAAAUUAUUUGUGAAUUGGUUUUGAUUUUUCAUGUGCAUUUGUUUGUAAUUGAUUUUUGUUUGAGAUACUGUUUGUGUGGGUAAAUGUUAAUCAUGUGGGAAACUGGUUUAUCCCUGUAUAAGCUUUGUAGUAUUUUUUAGAUAUUCUUCUCGCUAUUUUAAUUCUAACCAAAAGAGGUUAUUUUCUACUUAGCAUUUAUUCACUAGCAUAUUUUUUGAGAAUUUGUUUUGUGAAAAAUUUAAAUUAUGACAGAGAGAUCUGCUAUAUGAACCAUUCAACAAGUGUUUCUGAGUAAGUAUACUCAGCUCUGCCUCUGUGAGAACAUUCCUGCUAAAUGAAACCUUUCUAUCAAAUGCUUUACGACUGGACAGGACAGAAAGGUCACAGCAAGCACCACAGCAAAAGCACAUUUUCUUUGCAAGAACAUGUAAAAAUAACAUUAUGCUUCAUUUGUGUAAUUCUAAUUCAGUGAUCUCCUUUAUCAGUUUCUUUCAGAUUUGUCAGCUCGCUAGACACUGACAGUAUCAGCAAAAGAGAGAAAUUAAAGGAUAUGUAAAAACAAAA